GUGCCAGCAGCCGCGGUAAGACGUAGGGGGCGAGCGUUGUCCGGAUUCACUGGGCGUAAAGCGCGUGUAGGCGGCCUGCUAAGUGGCGUGUGAAAGCUCACCGCUCAACGGUGAGAGGCCGCGCCAUACUGGUGGGCUUGAGGGUGGCAGAGGGUGAUGGAAUUCCCGGUGUAGCGGUGAAAUGCGUAGAUAUCGGGAGGAACGCCAGUGGCGAAGGCGGUCACCUGGGCCAUCCCUAACGCUGAGACGCGAAAGCUGGGGGAGCGAACGGGAUUAGAAACCCCAGUAGUCC
rnacentral:rRNA from 1 species